rnacentral:rRNA from 1 species
AUUGAACGCUGGCGGCAGGCCUAACACAUGCAAGUCGAACGAGUGGCGGACGGGUUAGUAAUGUCUGGGAAACUGCCUGAUGGUGGGGGAUAACUACUGGAAACGGUAGCUAAUACUGCAUACCAUCAGAUGUGCCCUGAUGGGAUUAGCUAGUUGGUGGGGUAACGGCUAACAAAGGCGACGAUCCCUAGCUGGUCUGAGAGGAUGACCAGCCACACUGGAACUGAGACACGAUCCAGACUCCUACGGGAGGCAGCAGUGGGGAAUAUGGCACAAUGGGCGCAAGCCGGAUGCAGCCGUGCCGCGUGUAUGAAGAAGGCCUUCGGGUUGUAAAGUACUUUCAGCGAGGAGGCGUUACCCGCAGAAGAAGCACCGGCUAACACCGUGCCAGCAGCCGCGGUAAUAC